GUAGGGAAUAUUGGGCAAUGGUCGGAAGACUGACCCAGCCAUGCCGCGUGCAGGAAGACGGCCCUCUGGGUUGUAAACUGCUUUUAUCUGGGAAGAAAAAGGCCAUGCGUGGCAAAUUGCCGGUACCAGAUGAAUAAGCACCGGCUAACUCCGUGCCAGCAGCCGCGGUAAUACGGAGGGUGCGAGCGUUGUCCGGAUUUAUUGGGUUUAAAGGGUGCGUAGGCGGCUGAUUAAGUCAGCGGUGAAAGACUUCGGCUUAACCGGAGCAGUGCCGUUGAUACUGGUUGGCUUGAGUGUCGGAGGGGUACAUGGAAUUGAUGGUGUAGCGGUGAAAUGCAUAGAUACCAUCAGGAACACCGAUAGCGAAGGCAUUGUACUGGCCGACAACUGACGCUGAUGCACGAAAGUGUGGGGAUCAAACAGGAUUAGAAACCCGGGUAGUCC
rnacentral:rRNA from 1 species